UUAGAAAUAGUAUAAUAAAGAAUAAAUAACUGUUAAUUAUCAGGUCCUAACUGGGUGUGGGUUUCUAAG
rnacentral:tRNA from 1 species